AAACCGCCGAUGGCCCGCGUAAGCGGGAUCAGGUAAGGGUGAAAGGGUGCGGUAAGAGCGCACCGCGCGGCUGGUAACAGUCCGUGGCACGGUAAACUCCACCCGGAGCAAGGCCAAAUAGGGGUUCAUAAGGUACGGCCCGUACUGAACCCGGGUAGGCUGCUUGAGCCAGUGAGCGAUUGCUGGCCUAGAUGAAUGACUGUCCACGACAGAACCCGGCUUAUCGGUCAGUUUCACCU
rnacentral:RNase_P_RNA from 1 species